AUAGGCUUUCAAUAUCUAUUAAAGGAACUUCUAGCUUCCCGCCAAAGAAAAGAACAACACAAACCGUAUAAGAACACUCAACUUUGGAACCCACAAGAGCUAGCUACAUGUGAAAGAAAAGAAUAAAUGCUUUUCCCAUUUGUUGAAGCUUCACAUCUAUAGAAGCCUCAAACAACAUGCUUCUGUUCAGUUGCCCAUUUAAAAAUUUAGCAUAUUAUUUUAACCUCUUGCACAUCUUUUUUAAUUCUUGUUCUGCUAAGAAAAUAUUGUACUAGCAUCCUAGAUGGACGUGGAAUUGGGACUCAAAAUCACUAAAACUAAAGAUGACAUUGCUUCCAUCUCCGAGUAUCGAUUAGCAAAGGACAAAUCAGGACCAAUCUUUCAGUCUAGAGAAACAAACAAUGUGUUCAUCCUCACUGCCCAUCUUAAAGGUUAUAAGAGGAAUAACAUUAACAUAAAGAUUAGUGAAGAUGGUAGUAAGAUAUCAAUUAGUGGAGAGAGGCCAAUUCAGAAUAUUUUGAUGAUGGGGUGGUUAAUGCACAGGAAAGAGGUUGAUGUUGUAGGGUUCAAUAAGGUUUUCAAAAUUCCUGAUGGGGUGAAAUUGGAUGACAUCAAAGCAAAGUAUGAUGAGGAGGACAGGAUAUUGAAUAUUUCCAUGCCAAAAUUGGUUAAAGGAAUUUGUGGGGCUAGGAUUGAAGAGGUUAAGGAAGAAGAAUCUCAUAGAGGGGGAUCAAAACUAGAGAAAAGAGAAGUUGAACAAACUCCUAGCAGUGUUGGAGAGACAAGUCAAAAAGGAUCUAAAGAACCUGAAGUUCAACCAAUGGAGGAUAGGAAAAGUCUCAUAGAGGAGAAGGAGGGAGAAGUAUCUGACAAGAUGCUUGAUGAUGCCAAUAGGAAAAUAAUUAAAGACACAAUACAAAAAGAAGUAGAAAAUUCCAAGUUGGGAACUAAAGGAGGAAAUAGAGAAAGUUUUGGGGAGAAUGUUGGAAAGGAAGAGUGUGAAGUAAGGAAGAUAUCAGAACUAGAGAAAAAUGUUCUUGGCGACACAUCACAAAAAAUUGGAGAUACAAGGCAAAAGGAAAUUGAAAAUUCAAAGUUAAGGAUUGAGGAUGGAGGGGUAAAAGGAAUGAGAGAAGAGGUUGGAAAAAUAGAAUACGAAGUAGUGAAAACAUCAGAAACUAUGAAAAAGGUAGGUGUAACUAUCCCACAAAAUAAAGAUACAAAUCAAGAUGGAGUGUUUGAGUAUCAAGAAAUGGAGGACAAUGAAGGUUUUGUAAAGGAGAAAAAAGGGAUGAGUGAAAAUAAGUUUGAUGAGGUCAAUACAAACAUAAUUGGAGAGGUGAUCCAAAAAGAAAUAGGAAAACCUAAUUUAGAAAUUGAGGAUAAAGAUGGAGAAAGUAUGAAAGGAAAUAUAAGGAAAGUAGGAUAUAAAGGAGCAAAGACAUCAGAAAUAAAGCAAAACAUAGGUGCAAAUGUCACACAAAAUAUUGGAGAUAUGAGCCAAGGAUUAUCUAAAGAGCCUAUUGUUGAACAAAGAGAUGAGGCUAAAAGGACUAUUGGGAAGAUGGAGAGACAGGAUUCUAAAGAGAUGCUUGUUAAGGCUAAUGUGUGUACCGAGGAAGAGACACUUAGAGACUCAAAACAAAAACAAUUCAGAGAACCUAAGUUUGAAGUCAGUGAUAGACUUAAAGAAGGUAGUAUGGAACUAACAGAAAUAAUUAAGGCAUCAAAACUUGACCAGAAUGAAAAUGAUCAAAUUCUGAGCAACAUUGGUGGUAUAAGUCAAGAAAAAUAUAAGAAGUCUACAAUUCAAAAAAAGAAGAAAACUGGAAGCAUAGAAGAGAAUGUGGAUGGAGGGAAAUCUGAGAGGAUUCUUGUUGAAGCCAGUAAGGACAACCAAAAACUCAUGUCUGGAGAUUGCAUCCAAAUGGAUAUGAAAAAGCCUAAGAUUGAAACUAAGGAUGUAGAUCAAGAAUGUGUAGGGGAGAAAUUUGGUAAAAAAGAAUUUGAUUCAAUGACAACGAUAAAAGAAGGGUUUCCUGAGUUGUUACCAAAAGCUACAAUUGAGGAAAGCAAAGGGUUGAGUGCUUCAAAAAUGCAAGAAACUAAAGAUAUCAAAAACACAAUGACCAAAAGAAAACCAAAAAAUAAUGAAAAUUUUGUUGAUAAAGAUGAUUGGGAAGAAUCCAAAAGGAUGGAUAAGGAAGCAAAAAAUGAUAUAACAAUAAAAGAAAGACAAGAAAGUGAAUAUGUUAAAGAAGCAAUGACUAAAAAAGAAAGAAAACAGAUUCAAUAUUUUGUUGAUGAUGGUGAAAGAGAAGUACGCAAAAAGAUGCAUGUGGAAGCAAUGAAAGACUUCAAAAAGGAGACAAUAGAAGAAAAUGAAGAUUUCAAAGAAUCUAUGAUUGAAAGUGAAGGUGAAGGUUCCAAAAGAAUACAUAUAAAAGCAAAGAAUGACUUUGCAAAAAAUACAAUGCAAGAAACUGAAGAUGUCACAAAAGUAAUGGUUAAGAGAAAAUACAAAGAGAUUGAAAAUCUUGAGAAUAAGGGUGAAGUUGAAGAAUUGAAAAAGAUGCAUAUGGAAGCAAAGGACACAGAAAAGGAGACAAUGCAAGAAAGUAAAGAAGUCAAAGAAGCAAUUGUCAAAAACAAAGGCAAAGAGAUUGAACAUUUUGUGAAAAAAGGUGAAGACGAGGAACUCAUGAGCAAGCAAAUGGAAGCUAAAAAUGAAUUAAAAAAAGUGAUAAUGCAAGAAAAUGAACAAGUCAAAGAAGCAUUGGUCAAAAGAAAAGGCAAAGAAAAUAAAUAUUUAUUAGAUAAGGGUGAAGGAGAAGAAUCCAAAAGAAUGCAUAUAGAAGCAAAGAAGAACUUAUCAAAAGAGAUGAAGCAAAAAAGUGAAAAUGUUAAAGAAUCAAUGGUCAAGAGAGAAGAUAAAGAGAUUGAAUAUUUUGUGGAUACAAAUAAAGGUGGAGAAUCCAAAACAAUGCAUAUGGAAGAAAAAAAUUACUUAACAAAGGAGACAAUGAAAGAAAUUGAAGAUGUUAAAGAAGCAAUGGUCAAAAAGGAAGAUAAAGAGAUUAACUAUUUGAUGGAAAAGGGUGAAGGUGAAGAACCCAACAUGAUGCAUAUAGAAGCAAAAAAGGACUUUAAAAUAAAGCCAAUGCAAGAAUUCAAAAAGGUGCAUGUGGAAGCAAACAAGGACUUGGUAGAAGAGAAAAUGCAAGAAAAUGAAGAUGUUAAAGAAGUGAUGGUCAAGAGAAAAGGUAAGGAGACUAAAUAUUUUGUAGAUACAAAUAAAGGUGGAGAACCCAAAAUGAUGCACAUAGGAGAAAAAAAAGACAUAACAAAGAAGGCAAUGGAAGAAAGUGAAGACGUUAAAGAAGCAAUGGUCAAAAAAGAUGAUAAAGAGAUUGACUAUUUUUUGGAAAAGAGUGAAGGUCGAGAACCCAAUAUGAUGCAUAUAGAAGCAAAAAAAGACUUAAAAAUAAAGUUAAUGCAAGAAAGUCAUGCCAAAAAUGCAAUGAUUGAAAGAAAAGACAAAGAGACCAAUUGUCUUUUGGAUGAGGAUAAAGGUGAAAAUUCUAAAAGGAUGCACAUGAAAACAAAGAAAGAUUUGACAAUAGAGAAGAUGAGAGAAACUAAAGAUGUCAAAGAAAUAAAGGUCAAAAGAAAGGACAGAGAGAUUAAAGAUUUUGUAGAGAAAAAUGAAUGUGAAGAGCUUAGAAAGAUGCUUAUGGAAGAAAAUAAGCAAUUAACAAAAGACACAAUACAAGAAAGUGGCGAUGUCAAAGAAGCAAUGGUCAAAAAAACAGGUGAAGAGAUUGAAUAUUUUUUGGAUAAGGAUAAAGGGAAAGAAUCCAAUGAAAUGUUGGAGGUGAAGAAAGACUUAACAACAAAAUCAAUGCAAGAAAGUGAAGGUGUCAAAGAAACAAUGGUCAAACUAAAGGGAGUAGAGAUUGAAUAUUCUUUGGAUGAAGAUGGUGAAGAACCCAAAAGGAUACAUAAGAAAGAAAAAGACUUAACAAUAGAAAAAAUGCAAGAAAAUGAAGAUGUCAAAGAAGUAAUUGUGAAAAGAAAAAAUGAAGUGACUGAAAAUCUUUUGGAUAAAGAUGAAGAUGAAAGACAUAAAAGGAUACUUAAAAACACUAAGGAAGAAUUAAUAAAAGAGGAACUGCAAAAACGUGAAGACUUCAAAGGUGCAGUGGUAAAACAGAAAGGCAAGGAGAUUGAGUAUUUUAUGGAAAAGGGUGAAGGUGAAGAAUCCAAAGGGAUGCAUAUGGAAACAAAUAAGGACUUAGAGAAAGUGAUGAUGCAAGAAAGUGAGCAUGGCAAAGAAGUAAUGAUCAAAAGAAAAAACAAAGUGACUGAAUAUUUUGUGGAUAUGAGUAAAGAUGAAGAUCCCAAAAGAAUGCAUAUGGAAGCAAAUAGGGACUUAACAAAAGAUACAAUGCAAGAAAAUGAAGAUGUCAAAGAAGCAAUACUCAAAAGUGAAGGUAAAAAGAUUGAAUAUUUUCUUAAUGAUGAUGGUGAAGUUGAAGAACCCAACAGAAUGAAAAUGAAAGUGAAGAAGGACUUAACAACAGAGACAAUAGAUAAAAAUGAUGUCAAAGAAGUAAUGGUUAAAAGAAAAGAAAAAGACAUUGACUAUUUUUUAGAUGAGGAUAAAGGUGAAGAAUAUAAAAUGGUUGAUAGGAAAGCAAAUAAGGACUCGAUAACAGAGACAAUGCAAGAAAUUGAAGAUAUCAAUGAAGUAAUGGUCAAAAAGAGAAACAAAGAAAUUGAAAAUUUUGCAUAUAAUGGUGAUGAUAAAGAAUAUAGAAUGAGUAUUGAAGCAAUGAACUUAACAAACGAGACAAUGCAAGAAAGUAAAGAUGUCAAAGAAACAAUGGUCAAAAAGAAAGACAAUGAAAUUGAUUAUUUUGUGGAUAAAGGGGAAGGUGAAGAGAUCAAAAGGACGCAUAGAAAAGUAAAGAAAGACAUAAGAAAAGAUUCAAUGCAAAAGGAAAUUGAAAAGAUUAAGAUUGGAAUUAAAGAUAAUGAUCAAGAAAAUGCACUGAAAAAAAUUGAUGAAGAAAAAUUUGAAGCACCAAUUAAAGUGUUACCUAAGUUGGUUAUAGGGCAAGAUGAAAGUAGUGGUCUUAAGGUUGCAGAUAUGGAAGAGCAAAGAUGGAUAACCAAAGAAGACAUGGUUAAAACUGAAAGAUUAAAGGAAAACAUGCUAGGAGAAAAGUCUAAAAAUAUUGAAGAAGUGGACAAUGUUAUUGAAAAAAAUAUAGCAACUAGAAUCUUACAAGAGGAAACUAAGGAGUCUAGCAUUGAAAGAAAGUUCAAAGAUGGACCAUAUAUACCAGAAAAUAUGGUCAAAUUAGUAUUUGAAGUGUUAGGGACUUUCCAGGCAAAGCUUCCCAAGCAGGUGAUGGAAGCAAUUGCCCAAAAUAAGAAUGAUGCAAAUGAAUAUGUUAUUGUGAAGUUGAAAGGAGAAGGAUCAAUAAAGAUGCAUGUUGAACCAAAUGAGACUUUUGAUGAGGAAGCAUCUAUGGACAAAAUGGGGAAAGAAAUUAGAAAGCCAAAACUUAGGUCAAGUGAUCAAAUAAGUGGAAAAGAGAAUGUUAAUGUUGGAGUAUUUGAUGAAAGUAAAAUUGAAGGGCCUAAGGAUAAAAUUGUUAAUAAAGAUCAACAUGAGCAAAGAGGUGUUGCAAAUAGAAUUGGAAAAGUAGACAAUAUAGAAAAGUACAUGCUCCAAAAAGAAAAUGUAACAAAUGUUAGUCCUAUUGCUCAAAAAAUGGAAACAAAAAAAGACUUGAAAGCAACUCUUGAAAGAGAGAAAUACAUGAUAGCUCAAAAGGUUAAAGAUGAAAAGUUUGGGAUACAUGAAAAAAAUAUAAGAGAUGAUGUUGAAAAGUUUGAUAAGGAGGGAUAUCAAAUAAAGGUUGCAGAUUGGAUGUUAAAAGGAGAAUAUGUAGAAGAAGUUGUUCCUGAGAAAGAAAGAGAUAAACAAAAUGUUGCAAAGAGUGAAGAAGUUAAAGAGACUUUUAGACAACCACUCAAAAAAGAUAUGGCAAAAACAACUCAAGCAACAGAAGAUAAGUCUAAAAUGAAGGAAAUAACUCAAGAAUUUGAAAAACCUAGUGGUUUCAAACAAGUUGUAGAAAGAAUGCAUGAAAGUCACAAAGAAAAACAUCAAAAAGACCCAAAAGAAGUCAUUCCUAAAAUAGAGGUGAAAGCUCCAACAAUAACCACAAAGAAAGAAGUCCAGAAAUCAAAGAAGGAUGAGAUGUCACAUGUGCCUAAGGUAAUUCAAAGAAAAGAGAGGGAAAAGGAUGUUCAUGCACCAGAAGCAACCAUUUCUAAAAAAGAAGAGCUUGCACAAGCUACAACCAUGCAUUCAAUAACAAAAGGUGACAUUGACAAGCCACAAGUAACCCAACUUUUAUCUUCAUCUAGAGAAAUGUGGAGCAAAGAACCACGUAAAUUACAUAAGCAUGGUAUGAAAGAAUAUGACUUAAAGGAUGAGAGUUUAGUGCAAAUGCAAGGGGGAAGAGAAUCUAUUCAUUCAAUAAAAGGUAGUGCAACAUCAGAAGCAAUUGCAAAUGGAGUGGUGGAGCCAUCCAAAUUCUUUAGCUCAUUUUCUACUCAACCAUUUAAAGAUGAAGAAAAGGACAAGAUAAAUACUAGUAGAGACCAAGAUUCUCAAGAUGUAGAAAAUGAUUCAAAAAUAGAUGGUCAAGAAUCAACCAAAAGUAAAACAAACCAAGAAGUUGAGAAAAAAGAAACAAUUCAACCAGAGCUCCCUGAAGAUCAACAAUUCAUACAUAAAGAUCAAGAAGAAGAAAGACAUGGAACACAUGAAAUUGAAGAAGAAAAUGCCUUUGAGAAAGGAGAUGGAGUAAAUCAAGAAGAGUCUCAAGCGUUAAUGGAGCAAAAAGAAUGUGAAGAGGAAGCUACUAGAGGAAAGAAGAAUAACCAAAAAAGGUCAAAGAAAUUGUUUGUUUCAAUGAUCAUAGCAGGAUCAACCCUUCUUGGUUCUGGAAUAUUUCUCUUUAUUCGGCAUAGAAGAGCUAGAAAAGGGAUUUUGAUAUGAUUCAAGCUAUCAAUAGAAGCAUGACCAAGUGAGAAUAUUGUGUCUACUUCAACAUAUGUGCAUUAGCUAAGUUGAUAAGAUGCUAGAGCAACAUGGAAUAGAACAAAGGGGAUGCAAUACAUUGAGCAUAUGGACAACACUUGCUCCUAAUCUUGGCCCGCUUGUCUAUGGGUUGUCGCUAAAUGGAUUAGGAGGCAAGAGAAGUAGUCCCACAUGGUAUGAUACAAGGGUGAUAUUGUAAUUAUGUACCUUAUUAUAUAUGAUCUAGCCCUAUUUUCUAAUGAAUAAUAUAGACAACAAUUAUACUCCUGAGGAUGAAGACACACUUAUCGAACCUCAUUAAACCAUAUUGUUUGUGUGUGUGUGUGUGCAUGCAUUUUAUUCUACUAAUUUAAA